ACCCAGUGUGACUCGUCACACUAUCAUUAACUGAAUCCAUAGGUUAAUGAGGCGAACCGGGGGAACUGAAACAUCUAAGUACCCCGAGGAAAAGAAAUCAACCGAGAUUCCCCCAGUAGCGGCGAGCGAACGGGGAGGAGCCCAGAGCCUGAAUCAGCAUGUGUGUUAGUGGAAGCGUCUGGAAAGGCGCGCGAUACAGGGUGACAGCCCCGUACACAAAAGCGCAUGUGCUGUGAGCUCGAUGAGUAGGGCGGGACACGUGGUAUCCUGUCUGAAUAUGGGGGGACCAUCCUCCAAGGCUAAAUACUCCUGACUGACCGAUAGUGAACCAGUACCGUGAGGGAAAGGCGAAAAGAACCCCGGCGAGGGGAGUGAAAAAGAACCUGAAACCGUGUACGUACAAGCAGUGGGAGCACCCUUUGGGUGUGACUGCGUACCUUUUGUAUAAUGGGUCAGCGACUUAUAUUCUGUAGCAAGGUUAACCGAAUAGGGGAGCCGGAGGGAAACCGAGUCUUAACCGGGCGUUAAGUUGCAGGGUAUAGACCCGAAACCCGGUGAUCUAGCCAUGGGCAGGUUGAAGGUUGGGUAACACUAACUGGAGGACCGAACCGACUAAUGUUGAAAAAUUAGCGGAUGACCUGUGGCUGGGGGUGAAAGGCCAAUCAAACCGGGAGAUAGCUGGUUCUCCCCGAAAGCUAUUUAGGUAGCGCCUCGUGAAUUCAUCUCCGGGGGUAGAGCACUGUUUCGGCUAGGGGGCCAUCCCGGCUUACCAACCCGAUGCAAACUGCGAAUACCGGAGAAUGUUAUCACGGGAGACACACGGCGGGUGCUAACGUCCGUCGUGAAGAGGGAAACAACCCAGACCGCCAGCUAAGGUCCCAAAGUCAUGGUUAAGUGGGAAACGAUGUGGGAAGGCCCAGACAGCCAGGAUGUUGGCUUAGAAGCAGCCAUCAUUUAAAGAAAGCGUAAUAGCUCACUGGUCGAGUCGGCCUGCGCGGAAGAUGUAACGGGGCUAAACCAUGCACCGAAGCUGCGGCAGCGACACUGUGUGUUGUUGGGUAGGGGAGCGUUCUGUAAGCCUGUGAAGGUGUGUCGUGAGGCAUGCUGGAGGUAUCAGAAGUGCGAAUGCUGACAUAAGUAACGAUAAAGCGGGUGAAAAGCCCGCUCGCCGGAAGACCAAGGGUUCCUGUCCAACGUUAAUCGGGGCAGGGUGAGUCGACCCCUAAGGCGAGGCCGAAAGGCGUAGUCGAUGGGAAACGGGUUAAUAUUCCCGUACUUGGUGUUACUGCGAAGGGGGGACGGAGAAGGCUAUGUUGGCCGGGCGACGGUUGUCCCGGUUUAAGCGUGUAGGUGUGUGUUCCAGGUAAAUCCGGUUCACUUUAACACUGAGGCGUGACGACGAGGCACUACGGUGCUGAAGCAACAAAUGCCCUGCUUCCAGGAAAAGCCUCUAAGCAUCAGGUAACAUCAAAUCGUACCCCAAACCGACACAGGUGGUCAGGUAGAGAAUACCAAGGCGCUUGAGAGAACUCGGGUGAAGGAACUAGGCAAAAUGGUGCCGUAACUUCGGGAGAAGGCACGCUGACACGUAGGUGAAGUGAUUUACUCAUGGAGCUGAAGUCAGUCGAAGAUACCAGCUGGCUGCAACUGUUUAUUAAAAACACAGCACUGUGCAAACACGAAAGUGGACGUAUACGGUGUGACGCCUGCCCGGUGCCGGAAGGUUAAUUGAUGGGGUCAGCGCAAGCGAAGCUCCUGAUCGAAGCCCCGGUAAACGGCGGCCGUAACUAUAACGGUCCUAAGGUAGCGAAAUUCCUUGUCGGGUAAGUUCCGACCUGCACGAAUGGCGUAAUGAUGGCCAGGCUGUCUCCACCCGAGACUCAGUGAAAUUGAACUCGCUGUGAAGAUGCAGUGUACCCGCGGCAAGACGGAAAGACCCCGUGAACCUUUACUAUAGCUUGACACUGAACAUUGAGCCUUGAUGUGUAGGAUAGGUGGGAGGCUUUGAAGUGUGGACGCCAGUCUGCAUGGAGCCGACCUUGAAAUACCACCCUUUAAUGUUUGAUGUUCUAACGUGGACCCGUUACCCGGGUUGCGGACAGUGUCUGGUGGGUAGUUUGACUGGGGCGGUCUCCUCCUAAAGAGUAACGGAGGAGCACGAAGGUUGGCUAAUCCUGGUCGGACAUCAGGAGGUUAGUGCAAUGGCAUAAGCCAGCUUGACUGCGAGCGUGACGGCGCGAGCAGGUGCGAAAGCAGGUCAUAGUGAUCCGGUGGUUCUGAAUGGAAGGGCCAUCGCUCAACGGAUAAAAGGUACUCCGGGGAUAACAGGCUGAUACCGCCCAAGAGUUCAUAUCGACGGCGGUGUUUGGCACCUCGAUGUCGGCUCAUCACAUCCUGGGGCUGAAGUAGGUCCCAAGGGUAUGGCUGUUCGCCAUUUAAAGUGGUACGCGAGCUGGGUUUAGAACGUCGUGAGACAGUUCGGUCCCUAUCUGCCGUGGGCGCUGGAGAACUGAGGGGGGCUGCUCCUAGUACGAGAGGACCGGAGUGGACGCAUCACUGGUGUUCGGGUUGUCAUGCCAAUGGCACUGCCCGGUAGCUAAAUGCGGAAGAGAUAAGUGCUGAAAGCAUCUAAGCACGAAACUUGCCCCGA
rnacentral:rRNA from 1 species